rnacentral:ncRNA from 18 species
UAUCUUUGUUCCUGAAUUGGUUUGCGAGAGUCGGUAUCUUACGCCGCAAUUAAAAGGGAACGGGGUGUAAAUCCCCGACAGUCCCGCUGCUGUGAAGCUCUUUAUGUAUAUUCCAACACAAGGAACGCCACUGCAUAUCACAACAACACACAAAGAAGAUAUGUGGGAAGGCAGGAACAUACAGGAGUAAGUCAGAAUACCUGCCAUUCAUCAAAGGCUGCUU